UCCAGACUCCUACGGGAGGCAGCAGUGGGGAAUAUUGGACAAUGGGGGGAACCCUGAUCCAGCGACGCCGCGUGAGUGAAGAAGUAUUUCGGUAUGUAAAGCCCUAUCAGCAGGGAAGAAAGAAAUGACGGUGCCUGACUAAGAAGCCCCGGCUAACUACGUGCCAGCAGCCGCGGUAAUACGUAGGGGGCAAGCGUUAUCCGGAUUUACUGGGUGUAAAGGGAGCGUAGACGGUUACGCAAGUCUGAAGUGAAAGGCGGGGGCCCAACCCCCGGACUGCUUUGGAAACUGUGAAACUGGAGUGCAGGAGAGGUAAGUGGAAUUCCUAGUGUAGCGGUGAAAUGCGUAGAUAUUAGGAGGAACACCAGUGGCGAAGGCGGCUUACUGGACUGUAACUGACGUUGAGGCUCGAAAGCGUGGGGAGCAAACAGGAUUAGAUACCCCCGUACU
rnacentral:rRNA from 1 species